CCUACGGGUGGCAGCAGUGGGGGAUAUUGCACAAUGGGGGAAACCCUGAUGCAGCGACGCCGCGUGUGGGAAGACGGUCCUCUGGAUUGUAAACCACUGUCCCCAGGGACGAAGAUGACGGUACCUGGGGAGGAAGCUCCGGCUAACUACGUGCCAGCAGCCGCGGUAAUACGUAGGGGGCGAGCGUUAUCCGGAUUCACUGGGUGUAAAGGGAGCGUAGACGGCCAUGCAAGCCAGGGGUGAAAGCCCGGGGACCAACCCCGGGACUGCCCUUGGAACUGCAUGGCUGGAGUGCGGGAGGGGCAGGCGGAAUUCCUGGUGUAGCGGUGAAAUGCGUAGAUAUCAGGAGGAACACCGGCGGCGAAGGCGGCCUGCUGGACCGCGACUGACGUUGAGGCUCGAAAGCGUGGGGAGCGAACAGGAUUAGAUACCCUGGUAGUC
rnacentral:rRNA from 1 species